GAUGAACGCUGGCGGCGUGCCUAAUACAUGCAAGUCGAGCGAACAGACGAGGAGCUUGCUCCUCUGACGUUAGCGGCGGACGGGUGAGUAACACGUGGAUAACCUACCUAUAAGACUGGGAUAACUUCGGCAAACCGGAGCUAAUACCGGAUAACAUGUUGAACCGCAUGGUUCAACAGUGAAAGACGGUUUUGCUGUCACUUAUAGAUGGAUCGGCGGCGCAUUAGCUAGUUGGUAAGGUAACGGCUUACCAAGGCAACGAUGCGUAGCCGACCUGAGAGGGUGGUCGGCCACACUGGAGGUGAGGCGCGGUCCAGACUCCUACGGGAGGCAGCAGUAGGGAAGCUUCCGCAAUGGGGGAAAGCCUGACGGAGCAACGCCGCGUGAGUGAAGAAGGUCUUCGGAUCGUAAAACUCUGUUAUUGGGGGAGAACAAAUGUGUACGUAACUAUGCACGGCUUGACGGUACCUGAUCAGAAAGCCACGGCUAACUACGUG
rnacentral:rRNA from 1 species